rnacentral:rRNA from 1 species
GACGAACGCUGGCGGCGUGCUUAACACAUGCAAGUCGAACGGAAAGGCCCUGCUUUUGUGGGGUGCUCGAGUGGCGAACGGGUGAGUAACACGUGAGUAACCUGCCCUUGACUUUGGGAUAACUUCAGGAAACUGGGGCUAAUACCGGAUAGGAGCUCCUGCUGCAUGGUGGGGGUUGGAAAGUUUCGGCGGUUGGGGAUGGACUCGCGGCUUAUCAGCUUGUUGGUGGGGUAGUGGCUUACCAAGGCUUUGACGGGUAGCCGGCCUGAGAGGGUGACCGGCCACAUUGGGACUGAGGUACGGCCCAGACUCGUACGGGAGACAGCAGUGGGGAAUAUUGCACAAUGGGCGGAAGCCUGAUGCAGCAACGCCGCGUGCGGGAUGACGGCCUUCGGGUUGUAAACCGCUUUCGCCUGUGACGAAGCGUGAGUGACGGUAAUGGGUAAAGAAGCACCGGCUAACUACGUG